rfam:Ancylostoma ceylanicum strain HY135 Acey_s0058_scaf, whole genome shotgun sequence.
UCCUCGUUAGUAUAGUGGCGAGCAUCCGCGUCUGUCACAAGCGAGACCCGGGUUCAAUUCCCGGCCGGGGAG